GACUAAUAAUGAAUAAUAAAAACUUGAUUAAUAUUCAUUUAAUUCAUCGAUAGUUAAAUUAAUUACGGAAAUAAUCAAAUGCUUUCCAUGCCCGUAUAAAUUCGCUAUACUUGAUCUAGAAUUAGCCGUGCUAGCUAGAUGCAAGAUACCGAGGCGAGCUUCUACCCCUUUCAGGGUGUUGCUUGCGCACUGGGUGGCGCACAUGCGCGAUCGUGCAGCGAAAACCGAGGUAUGGGAAGAGGGCGCGGUGCAACGAGAAUGGAAAGGGGAUGGACACCCCCCGGUGCGACAAGGAUCGAGUUUAGAGCAAUAGCGCAUAUAGGAAUUUCAUAAGAGGGAGAGAUUCAUUCACACAGAAGAUAUACGAAAUUGCUUUUCUGCAUACGUUCCUGGCUCAAAGGAUGGGAAUGAAGAGGGAAUGCAAGCUCUGACGAAAAUAGAGAACGUGGGGAGGAUGAGUAAAGGCAUGGGUAGUCCGGGUGACGAAUGGAAAGGAUCUAAGAACGACCAAGAUAAUGACUUCAGAAGGGAAAGGCAAUUUGAAUAGGUUCAUUUAGAACAAUAGUAAUUAAAAUUAAAUUAUUAUUUAUAAGACACCCUAUUAAAGACGAUCGGGAAAAUCAUCAUCAUUUAAA